rnacentral:rRNA from 1 species
UGGGGUAUAUUGCACAAUGGGGGAAAUCCUGAUGCAGCGACGCCGCGUGAACGAAGAAGGUAUUCGUAUCGUAAAGUUCUGUCAUAUGGGAAGAUAAUGACAGUACCAUAGAAGAAAGCUCCGGCUAAAUACGUGCCAGCAGCCGCGGUAAUACGUAUGGAGCGAGCGUUGUCCGGCAUUAUGGUGGGUAAAGGGUACGCAGGCGGUUUAAUAAGUCGAAUGUUAAAGAUCGGGGCUCAACCCCGCAAAGCAGUGGAAACUGAUCAAAUUGAGUAGUGGAGUGGAAAGUGGAAUUCCUAGCGUAGUGGUGAAAUAAGUCGAUAUUAGGAGGAAUACCAGUAGCGAAGGCAGCUUUCUGGACGCAAACUAACGCUGAGGUACGAAAGAGUGGGGAGCAAACAGG